UCAUUACAUACUGAAUGUGGAAGAUAAAACUAACACAUACUGAUAUAUUGAAAGUCUGGAUGAUAUAAAUCAAAGUGCGGAAAUACUAAUACAAUUUUGAAACAUAUUUGUAGCCAACAUAUUUAAUAUGAAAAGUCUGAGACUCUGUCUAACUGUUACUCUAGUCUAUGAAUCCUCUAAUAAAGUACUGAAAAUACUGACUGUCUAAAAAAAUACUGAAGACUGUAAGGUAAUGAUAAUGCACCGAAAGAAUUAGGAUCACCAAAUAGCUGGCACGAGAAUCCUAGCGCUUGGAAUCAUUAACCUGUAAUUCAUUGCCUGCAUUGUGAGAUGCAGGCCCCGGGCAAAGGGACGUCAGUACAUUUGAAUUGUACUAGUAUGUAAAGCAAUUGAAAGAAAUAAUUAUAAAUGUCGAAACUGAAACUUAGCUGAUAACUGAAAAUUUAUAAUUGAUAACUAAAAUGAUAACUAUUCAAACUGAAACUGAAAUGAUAACUGAUAACUGGUAAUUGAACUGAUAACUGAUAACUGAACUAAUAACUGGUAACUGAUAUGAUAGUUGAUAACUGAAUGGUAACUAAUAAUUGAACUGAAAAAUGUAAGGAUAUGAAUACUCCCUCUUCUAAAUGAUGAACAACCUGUUUAUCUGAAUAUUAAACUGCAGCCUCAGGCCCAAUAUAUAUAUAUGCACAAGCUGCGGCCUCGGGCCCAAGUAUACGUAUACAUAACUGCGACCUCAGGUCCAAAAUGCAUAAAGCAUAAACUGUGGCCUCAGGCCCAAAGAUGCAUAAAGCAUAAACUACGGCCUCAGGCCCAAAUACAAGUGUUCAACAUUCAGGGAUAUAAAAUCAGGAACUGGGAAUCAUACUGCAAUAUAUGAUAGUAAAAUACUGAAUCACAUUGAGUUACAUAAUACUGGAAUAUUGGAACACACUGAGUUACAUAAUACUGGAAUACUGAAUAGGACUAGACUGAGACAUGUAUUCUUGAACUAAUUAUGAACAUUGAAACUUCAACUGUUUAUGGCAUACUAAGUAAUCUAUACUAAGACUCGGGGCAUCAAACACAAGUCUAUAUUGAAUACGCACUAAGCUCACAACGUUCAGAAUGAAAGUCAUGAAAGAGUUAUGAAGCUAGAGAAUAGAAGUUCUACAACUAUUCAAGGAGCUAGGCUUAACUAUAUUUCUGAGGCAAUUGAUGCGUCGUACAAGAAACAUAGUGUAAGGAGAAUAAUUAAUAUUUCCAAACAUAGAGAGUUAGUCUUACAUAACUUAACUUCCUGUUCUUGAGCGUAAUACAACAUUCGCCAACCCUUUCAACUUCAAUCUAUAUAAAUACAAGUCAAAGGGAUUCCAUAUUUGUCAUGACCCAAACCGAUGGGCUGCGACGGGCACCCGGUACCUUACUCAACCGAGUACCAAUGUAACGUAUCUUUCUUAUUACAUCAUCAUAUACACGUGACAUACGGGCCUAAUAUGCCAACAUAAUCAUUUAUAAACUCAAAACAUAGGCCGGCAAGGCCGUACAAUCUUUCACGUACACGACAUAUGUCUACCAGCCUCUAAGAAUACAUAAGUGUCAUAUAGGUCGGGACAGAGUCCCGCCAUACCAAACAAUACUCAUCUAAAUCAUACUAACCAAAUACGCAACUCCGAAGCAAAUGGAGCGCACCACCAUCUUUCACUGAGCUGAUAGCCUACUUGGAGGGCUCUCGGCCUGUCUAUCAGGGCCUGCGGGCAUGAAACGCAGCGUCCCCAGGCAAAAGGAACGUCAGUACAAAAUAAUGUACUGAGUAUGUAAGGCAAUAUACUAAAAGCUGAAACUGAACUGAUAAUAUAAUAACUGUAAGUAGUCGGAAGUCAAAGAUAAUCUGAAGAUAUGCUUACGUGCUGAUACUGACUCAAUUCUCUCAAUAUAGUAAGUAAAAUAGUUGUCCGGCUUUAUAAGGCUUGGUAUACAUAUAUAUAUUUGCUCUGUCGUAGUAGGCUCGCUCAUAAGCUCUCGGCCAUACUAGGCUCUAUAUCUCGACCAACUGGGCUCGCUCAUAUGCGCUCGGCCACAGUAGGAUCGGUAUAUAACUUACCAUCUGAUCAGAGGUUGCCCAAUAGGGGUCUGCCCAUCGAUUAUAGCUCGAUGGUAAUAAAAAUACUUUUAAUACUGUAUAUAUGUAACUUAUCUGCUCUCUUGACUGGAAGAAGGAAAUACUCAACUGAAUAUGAAGUCUUGAUAAGAAGAAUGUGGUAAUUUACAAAACUAAGAAAAUAUUAACCUCCUGCAUGUAUUUAAAGUAGUUGCCUAUGAUAACUCUUGCAGUACUAAUCAUAUAUGAGCCUUUUGUCAACCUAAAUGCCUUUAUUUGUUUCACUUCUUUCUAGGAAUAUUAUGGAUACCUUUAAUUAAAAAGGUUUUGUUGUACAUUCAAACAUGAAAUGCAAAUUAACAAUUGGUUUUAUGAACACGCUUCCCGUUAGUAGAGGGAAAAGUAUAUAUACAGGACUACUUGUUUAAAUAGAUAAAUAUACGUAAAUUCAGGGAUAUGAAUUUUUCUCUAUACCUCUACUUUACCCAUUAUUAAUGUUGACUCCAACAGUACAUUAUUAUGUCCUAUUGUUUCAUGGGAUUAAUUGCUCGCCAACUAUUUACACGUAAGGACUACAAGUAAGAUUUUAACUAGCUUAGAGAUCUGAUUGAUUAAAUAAUAUAUAAUAAUAACCUAUAUAAUUAUGUUAAUGUCAUAUGAAAAAGCUUUCAUUUAUCCUAAGUUGCUGCUAGUACCGAACCUUUCAUUAACCUUAAAAAUUGAACAUUGCCUUAUAUGUCUUGUACAACGUAAAACAAGUAGUAGGAUGUAUUGUUAUCAAACUCAAGUAAUUACGGGGUCAUGCCAAAUGAAAGAAGAGCUUAGCCUUAACAUACCUGUUCCUGGAAUUUAUUUGAACAAUAUUGUUGUUGUUCUUUGAAUUUCCAAUCGAAUCUUGGCUAAAUAAUUUGGACGAAACAACUCUGUUCCAAGUUCUUGGAUUUUAAAAUCCACAGCAGAAUUUUUUUGAUUAACCUAUGGAACUUUGGAAGAACUAGAAAUGCCUCUUGGCUUAAAUGCCAAAGUAUUGCUUCUGCUAUUCACGUUAGUUGGUAGAAUGAUGGCCUUUGAUCCUUUAAGUGAAAUGCUUUCUGUUGUCUCAUUUUGAUUUGAUAAAGGUAACCAUAAAG
rnacentral:lncRNA from 1 species